rnacentral:piRNA from 1 species
AUCAAGGAAACCAUGAUUGUGCUU